GGGCGCGGCGUGGGUCGUACCAAGUGCACCCUUCCUUUGGCCGCCCCGCGCACCGUCCGUGGUGCCGGGAGCGGUAGUCCCGCCACUGUAUCUAGGCUUCGUGCCCACGGCCGGAGCUAAAGACGCGAGAGGUGGUCGGAGCGGAAUAGGACAACCCGGGAGAUAGUUGGAGUCCCCCCAUCUAUCAGUCAAAGAUGGUAUCGCCUCCGCCGCUGAGUGUACUCAACCUAGCGGAGGGCUCAGGCUCUCAAAGAGGCUGGUAGGUGGGGCUUCGUGUGGGCCGUACCACUUGGAAGGGGGAGUGUGCAAGGGACAAGCAUUACGGGCUUAAGAGAAAUAAAAUGUUUUAGAGUCUCAUUCCAGAAGAUUUCGCAACAACUUCACAAAUAAGAGGCUUCCUUGGAGAACUGGGUUCAGAAAAGAAAAAUUUGCUUCUCCGCGAUCACCCCCGAUUUGUGUGGGAGUGAGUUGGGUCCCCGUGGCUGCUACUAAUUGGCCUAGAUAGAGUUACGCGGACCAAUAAGAAAAGGAAGGACAUUUGCUGGCCUGUGGAAAGAGAAAAGCAGCCACAGCCCAGCCAAGGACAGACAGUCGCAGCUCAGCCACUGAGAAGCCACCAUACGUCAAGCUCCCCGUUUAUGACUCCCGACGCCCCACUUGCCUCUAUCAAAGAAUGGCCCUCUCCUUUGUUCGGGGACUUGCCUGCGGUUUUACCGUGGCAGCUGGCUCGUCCCAGAUUGUAAAUUCUCAGCGAUUCCUGAGCAAGCCCAUCCUUUGCUGGGAAGACAGCUGGCUGUGCCAGAUGAUGCCACAUGGGGGAGAAAAGAGUUGUGCGCUUCACUCAGCCUUGCCCAAACUGCAAAACUGUGAGGAAUGAAACGGCGGUUGUUGGUGCAAACCUUUAGGUUUUAGGGUGGUUUGUUUCACAGCGGUAGACGGCCCAAACAGUGGGCAUCAUACCCGGUUUGUCUCCCUGUUCCCAGCCCCAGGUCCAGGGCCUGGUGGACCCUCAGUAAAUAUUGAAGGAGUAAAUAAACAAACGUUUGGAUAGAUGAAUAGAUGGGUGGAUACGUGCAUUGUCUUGGGCCUGAUGGCCCUGAAGUGGUCGGUUCUGGCCGAAUCAGGGACACAGAGGGCAGCAGCUUCAUGGAGAAGCGAGGGGACAGUCCCUGUUGCGAUUGUUUGAAAUCAUUUCCUCCCGCACAGGGUUCCAGUCAGAGCCACUUGAGGUGGCAUACCACAGGCAGUGGGGACGCGGCUGUUCCAGUGAGAUGACACUGCCAUCCAGGGGCCUGGAAGGCUCCGCGGUGCCCUGGUUUGGGAAGCACAGGGACGGAAGGAAUACCUGGGGGGGGGGGGGGGGGGGGGGGGGGGGAGGGCGGGGCUCUAUUUCACUGGGUUCCAGAGUUAAGUCUCACGUGGUUGCCACGGAACAGCUGAAGCAUAUGUGGUUUUUUUGUUGUUGUUGUUUUGCUGUUUGGCUUCGUUUUAUCAUUCCAACCUCUGCAGUCCAAGAAGGCAGCUGGAAGGAGCCUGGGACAGCCGCCACAUGAGCCAGAUGGCUACACCCACUUCCACUCCCUGCUCUGACAAAGGCCUUCCCAACCGGACAUUCGGAUUCCCGCGUGGUCGGCUUCAGCCCGCCUCCCCCCUCCCCACCCAUCCUCGUCCACUUUGUGUUGUCGUCAAGCUCACUUUGUCCUCGUGCCACCCAACUCUGCUGGUCUCUUUGGCAAAGGUCUCUUCUCUAUGCUUUUCUUCUCCCGUUUGCCCGGAAAAUCCCUAGGGCUCGUCUAAGACACUGCCAAGCAUCGGCUGUAAACCCAAAUGAAUCUCUCCCUCCUCUUGGCGCCCGUGGCACCGAGCCAGCGUGGACACAAUCUCGGAUGACCCCAUAUUGUAAUUGCUCCCAUGUCUGUGGCCUCUGUCGGCGCAGGGUUUGGAAUAACGAAAACUGCUCCCCUGUGGAUGCUGCAAAUCGUAAGGAUUAUCACACAGCCCGCGUGUGCUGGGCUCCGACUGGAUGCCGGGCGUGGUUUUAAUUCUUACAACGGCCCCACGAGCCAGGUUCUGUGAUCAUGCGUGGUUCGUGGGCGAGGAGACCGAGGUACAGAAAGACUGAGCAACUCGCCCGAGCUUUGCAGAGCUGCUAGGGAAAGACCGUCAGCCCCGAAACCCAGGCAGGGUGGCCCCGUAGCCCUGUUCUCACCCCUUUUACUUUAUACCUUGUCCAUUUUCUCAAUCCCUGUCCUGUGACAAGCUGCCGUCGCUUUUUGUUUGUUUGUUUGUUUGUUAAAGUAAACUCUAAGCUGA